rnacentral:rRNA from 1 species
CCUACGGGUGGCAGCAGUGAGGAAUAUUGGUCAAUGGACGCGAGCCUGAACCAGCCAAGUAGCGUGAAGGAUGACUGCCCUACGGGUUGUAAACUUCUUUUAUAUGGGAAUAAAACGUUCCACGUGUGGGAUUUUGUAUGUAACUUAUGAAUAAGGAUCGGCUAACUCCGUGCCAGCAGCCGCGGUAAUACGGAGGAUCCGAGCGUUAUCCGGAUUUAUUGGGUUUAAAGGGAGCGUAGGUGGAUUGUUAAGUCAGUUGUGAAAGUUUGCGGCUCAACCGUAAAAUUGCAUUUGAAACUGGCAGUCUUGAGUACAGUAGAGGUGGGCGGAAGUCGUGGUGUAGCGGUGAAAGGCUAAGAUA